rnacentral:lncRNA from 1 species
UCCAGUAACGGCGGCAAGAUUUGCAGAAGUGACGAGGCUGAGAGAGGCUGUAGUUGUUGUAGUAACAGAACUUUGUGUUUGAGGAGUUGCAACGAGGGCAUUUUAGGGUUUGUUGGUCUUGAGAGGUGGAGGAGGACGGUGGUUUUUUGGUAUGGGGUGUCCCGGUGGUACGGUGAUCCGGUUUAGGAGAGUGGAGAUUGGUAUGGGAGGACAUGAUGAUGAUGGGACGAGAGGAGAAAAGUUUGAAGGAAAUAAGUAAAGUAGGAGAAUAGAGAGAAAGAGAGGUUGAGGAACAGUCGGUACAAGGGUUUCGUGUGGUGUUAUAUAUUUAUACAAAUGAUUGUGUAUGUUUGUGUUUGUGUUUUUUUUUUUUAAAGUCACUUUGGCAUAAAUAAUUAUAGAUAUUGAUUUAUUUGAAGAAAACAAAAAGUGUUUUUGUCUUCAAAAAGUUGGAGAGAAAGACUUAAUUACUUUUCGUUUGUUAAUGACUUAGCAAAUAUAAAAAGUGGUUUUAUCGUAAAGAAUUGGAAGUACUUAAUUAUUUGAGAUUUUGGCAUUUGUAACUCUAUUUGUAAGAAAACUCUAUUUGUAUUUAUAUUGCACUAAUAUAGUGUGUUUAUAUUAUAGUGAAACUUUAAUAACUUGAGUUUUGUUAUUCAUUUCUAAGACAUUAAAUACAGUAUUAUUAAGUUACAAAAAAAUACAGUAUUAUUAAAAAUCUUAGUUAUGCGUACUGUACAGUUUACACAAAAUUUAUGGUAACACAAAAAAUUAUAAACAUAAUCUAUAUAAAUUUGAAAACUCAAUAUUUAUGUUAUAACAAAUCAAACUGUGAUAUCUGUGUUGGAUGUAAAUUUUGUUGGUAACGAUUAUACAAGAGUAGUAUUUUUUUUUUUUUUGCAAACAAAUUAAAUAUGUAUUUAACAUGUUUUAGUAAAGUCUUUGAGAUAAAACACCAAGCUUGAACUCCGUUGUUCCAUUGCUCACUUCCUCCUGUAUUAUUAUUAUUAUUAGCCACCCCUUCAGUAUCAUUAUUAUUACCAAAAUACCAUUCUGUCUGAUUAUCUCCUUUCUUCGUCGGCGACUGCGAUGAGUUCACGAUAUCGAGAUUCCUGUAAAGUAUCGGCUGUGGCCUCUCCACAACGACAGUCUCUUCUUUAGAGCUACCAAAAAGCAUAGCCAUCCUCUGUUGCUGAAGUCUCCAGUGCAAAUCUUGGUUUAAAGAACUCAAAGUUUCUAUCGAAGUUGCUAAGUUUCCGUCGGUUGCUCCGGCGGUUGUAAACGUCCCCGUUGAAUGGUUGUUGUUGUUGCUGUAAUCUCCAAAACCCAUUAAAGAUAAACCCGACCCGACAUCAACGGGUGUUGUCUCGACCUGGUCCAUGGGCCUAAGGCCAAGAACUUCUUGAUUAUUCAUAAGUUGAAGAUCGUUGAUUUUGUUGAGAGACAAACCAGCGAGCUGAAAAUCCAUUGUUGUUGGAGGAGGGAAGAACUUGGAGGAAUCUUCCAUGAUUGAAGAGAAAAAUCUCUGAGAUGAAGAAGGAGUUGCUACUGCGUUAGGUUUGAAUGAUUUUUUGGUUUUCCGACAUCCUCCACCGAUGGGGACGUUUCUUAAGGCACCACCACGUGUCCAGUAACGGCGGCAAGAUUUGCAGAAGUGACGAGGCUGAGAGAGGCUGUAGUUGUUGUAGUAACAGAACUUUGUGUUUGAGGAGUUGCAACGAGGGCAUUUUAGGGUUUGUUGGUCUUGAGAGGUGGAGGAGGACGGUGGUUUUUUGGUAUGGGGUGUCCCGGUGGUACGGUGAUCCGGUUUAGGAGAGUGGAGAUUGGUAUGGGAGGACAUGAUGAUGAUGGGACGAGAGGAGAAAAGUUUGAAGGAAAUAAGUAAAGUAGGAGAAUAGAGAGAAAGAGAGGUUGAGGAACAGUCGGUACAAGGGUUUCGUGUGGUGUUAUAUAUUUAUACAAAUGAUUGUGUAUGUUUGUGUUUGUGUUUUUUUUUUUUAAAGUCACUUUGGCAUAAAUAAUUAUAGAUAUUGAUUUAUUUGAAGAAAACAAAAAGUGUUUUUGUCUUCAAAAAGUUGGAGAGAAAGACUUAAUUACUUUUCGUUUGUUAAUGACUUAGCAAAUAUAAAAAGUGGUUUUAUCGUAAAGAAUUGGAAGUACUUAAUUAUUUGAGAUUUUGGCAUUUGUAACUCUAUUUGUAGAUGGGACGAGAGGAGAAAAGUUUGAAGGAAAUAAGUAAAGUAGGAGAAUAGAGAGAAAGAGAGGUUGAGGAACAGUCGGUACAAGGGUUUCG